rnacentral:rRNA from 1 species
GAGUUUGAUCCUGGCUCAGAUUGAACGCUGGCGGCAUGGUUAAAGCAUGCAAGUCGAACGGGUUCGCAAGAACCAGUGGCGAAAGGGUGAGUAAUACGAUCGAACGUACCCCGAGGUGGGGGAUAGGCGUGGGAAACUGCGCGUAAGACCCCAUGAUGUCUACGGACCAAAGGCUUGCCGCCUUGGGAUCGGCGAUCGUCCUAUCAGGUAGUUGGUGAGGUAAAGGCUCACCAAGCCAAAGACGGGCAGCAGGUGUGAGAGCACGGCCUGCCACAUCGGGACUGAGACACUGCCCGGACUCCUACGGGAGGCUGCAGCGACGAAUCUUCCGCAAUGGGCGAAAGCCUGACGGAGCGAUGCCGCGUGUGGGAUGAAGCGGCUUUGCCGUGUAAACCACUGUCAGGAGAUAGAAACACUGAUCAUCUCCAGAGGAAGGGGCGACUAACUCUGUGCCAGCAGUCGCGGUAAGACAGAGGCCCCGAGCGUUAAUCGGAAUCACUGGGCUUAAAGGGUGCGUAGGCGGACUCGUAAGUGUCGUGUGAAAGCCCACUGCUUAACGGUGGAACCGCACGGCAAACUGCAAGUCUCGAGGAAGGUAGAGGCCGGUAGAACGAUUGGUGGAGCGGUGGAAUGCGUAGAUAUCAAUCGGAAUGCCAAAGGUGAAGACAGCCGGCUGGGCCUUUCCUGACGCUGAGGCACGAAAGCGUGGGGAGCAAACAGGAUUAGAUACCCUGGUAGUCCACGCCCUAAACGAUGCGCGCUGGAUCACGGCGGCUCUGACGUCGUCGGGAUCGCAGAGAAAUUGCUAAGCGCGCCGCCUGGGGAGUACGGUCGCAAGGCUAAAACUCAAAGGAAUUGACGG